AUGUUCAGGAGGAGACUGAUUAUGGACUGUGGUAGCCAGUCUUAUCGGAAAAGAGGCGUAGCGGUGGCUUUAGGGGAGAAGGAGGGUCGUUAAGUCUUUAGGGGUUUAGCUACAUCGGCCCUCGCCCUAUCCCUGAUGUCGGCCGCGCCCGGAGCAGCUGCCGAAGACGCCGUCGCGAUGUCGCUCCCCUCCCGGCCACUCCCACUCCCACUCCCGCUCCCGCUUCCGCUCCGACGACGAGACAUACCCACCUUUACUACGUGCCGCCGGUCUGGUUCUCGUCGGCGACCGUAGCCAAACCUCGAUUCGAUCCCAACUACGCCAACGGCCUGUCUCCUCCUCCGUGGCGGCGUCGCCAUCUUAUGCUGCCUCCUCCUCCUCUUUGAGGCGGGUCAGGUGCUAUCUUUCCAACCCUCUAUAAAACCCGACAGCUGUUUGGCCGCCCCGGGUGGAGGGCUCAGAUCAGGAGAAAAGAGGAGCGAGGGGAAAGAGGUUAGAAGAGGUGAUUAUAAACGUCCUAUUAGAGGGGUGUCAAGUCGACGAGAAGGGAGGGGUGUAAGAGCCGGUCCCUCGACCCACCUCCUCUGCCGCUACCUCCGCCGAGAAGACCCGCCUAAGUAGUUCCAGUAGGACGGCUCCGAGAAGAGAGAGUAGCUGCUGUUCAUGUUCGACGUGUCCCCGCAGUUCUCGCUGCAGUUCAAGGAGCACUUCCUCGAGGCGUACUAGCAGCCGCGGUAGCUGCUGCUGCUCGAGAGUCUGUGGAGGCGGCGGCGCGCGGACAGCUAGGUCCUGGACGCGCUCGACCGGGUACCGUAUCUCCUGACGUAGCUGCCGGAGUACAUAGCGCGGUGGACCCUCGUCGUCCGCAGGAAGGAGGCGGCCUCGCAAGCCGAAGCCGGGGGGUUCCGCGAGUUCUGGUCACGCGUCGAGCGAGCCCUCUACGUCGCCGAGUCCGUCUACCGCUCCCUUCGCGUGCUCGCCUUCGUCUCCAUGCGCCGGCUGAAGGGCCGGCCGCCGGUCGGGAGGAGGAGACGGUGGGGCGGCCACCUGCUCAGCGGGAGGAGGGGCAGGCUAGGCGCGUAGGAACUGCGCCUAGACCAGCCGCAGCUGCUCGGGUAGCGCCUCGACGACCUCGUCGACCGACUCCACGUCGGCUCGGCCGACUUCCACUAGCGGCAGCAGCCCAAAACGCCGAACCCCUUCUGGCGGGAGCGGCGCCUUCACAUGUUGUCUCUUUGGGCGUCGCUCUCUAAACUCUCCGUGCGCACCCAAAUACGCCGCGACUUCUCGGGCGCCCUCCACGAUCGCCUGGACGAGGCCUUUGAAUCGAGGCUGCGGGGAAGAACGGUCCCCUUUUCACAUGACCUCUGGAGGCUACAGCCGGUUGAGACGCGUCUUGAGUUUGUUGUCAACCACUUCUUCUCCAUAAAGUAACACUAGCUACUGUAAGCUUGUCUUCUAGUUACCUUUUGGUAGUUUAGACGGAACGGUCGUCUAUUCCUAUAAUCGUCGUCUUAUGACCACUGCUGAUGAUAAGUCAGUCAUCGAUUACGGACGUCAAGAUCAUUACCGAUACAAGUGUUUUACUCGUCUGAACUAUUUUAUACGAGUUUUGUCAACAAGUGGUUCUUUCGAACAGGCCUGUUUAUAAGUACAAUGUUCGUCGGACUAGGUCGUCUUCAAAACUUCUUUACACUACCGGUCGGUGAACGCGACCACUGUUAUCCACUUAAGAACGUUCGUUUCCCAACCGGUUGUCCUGGAUCGACACUUCUGCAGACGUGGGUCUAUCCAAUAGUGGACCUCUUACUGUUCUCGAAGCUUUUUUACGCUGCACACGACUAAGUAUUGAUGUGGUGAGACGGAUCGGUACGAGAGUUUCGGACGAACGAUAUAAAACCAUACAAGGGUUCAUUAGCAGGGUAGUCCUUCUUUUCAGAAAACUCUGCUACCGAACGACUCCCUAAACACCUUGGCGUUGGAAGCGGCUCGAGGGGACUAGGGUAUCGACGAAAGUUACGGGAGUACCUGGCUUUGUAGUAACUCGGUUAGUUGAACUCGUUGUUACUAUUACACUUCUGAACAGUUUGUAUACCGUACUACGCACUCAAGUAAAACGUGUACAGGCAGAGAGUCUUGAAGCAAUGAAACAAAACGUUACUGUUCUAUCUCGGGUUUAUGCAAGCAGCCGAAAGAGAGGUACUCUCGAGACGAUGUCUACGACUGUCAAAGUCGUUACAACUAAAUAGUGAACAGGCCAGAGAUCGUUAGAAGCCCUUCCGUUCAGUUUGACAUAACCUGGAGUCGUUCAUGGUAGAAGACGCUCAUAACCUAGAACUUUUUACACUCCUCAACUUCCUACUAGUACAGUUUCUGUAUACGUUGGACGACGAAGAUUUUAUAGACUCGGAACCCCGACCACAAUGGUGUUAAGGUUCUCUAUAACAAUUUGACUUUGUAAACCAUAGUGAACUACAUUCCUCUUGUUUCCAUGUAUAUGACGUACAUCUUCAGAAGGUCAACGGCAGAAAUUAAGUGAAUAAACCCUUCAAAUUCGAAGGUCUAUAUCAGUUCGGUUUUUCACUUCAUGUACUCAAAGAGAGGUUUCCUUUUUCAUUGAACCUUUGUGAUCGUCCUAAAUAAUGGCUGUCUUCACCUCCCAAGGACGUAGAAUACCCAAUAUACUUAUUUGACUCAUUCGACUUCUAAAACACACUCAGCGGACGUCCGACGCGACUGGCUUGGCUAGAAUUCCUCCGGUAAGUCGUCAAGUAACUCCUACUUUUCGUUCGUUUAUAACCAAGAGCGAGAAAUAGCGAAGUAAAGUCGUUUACGACACUUCUCGAGGACUUAAGGAAUUUUCCUGGGACGAUGGAGUCGAGUGACUUUAACGUGCCACUGAACCGACGUGACGGAGUCAAACAACAAAGUGAAGCCCCGGAGUUCCUCAAUACGGAAAGCAGAUGGUUUAACUGCUGUCCACAAGAACUUCGAAACUCAUUAAACUCGAUGGAGGUCAUGAACUUUGACCAACGAGUACUGGAACUGUUCAAGUAGCAUUCUCUGGUCCGCAAGACGUCCGAAGAUGCGGAAAGAAACCUCGACGUUACAGGUUGAAAGGGAUGUUAUCUUCUUCCCCGAGACGGUAAGGAACAGUGUGAGGUCGACGAGACAUUUCUAGACGUACCGGAAAGACUGGAGUUUUAUCUUAUAGAGUUUGUAGAGUUUCUCCAGUGAGAACUGGGAUCUCAGUGAGGUUGUUGUUCUUCUUGUACCCUCUUCCGACGAUCCCUCGUAGGCUUGUCCGGUUUCCAAAACGACGAGUUUAGACAACUACGUCGUGUUUCACUCUAACGUCUGAUGUGAUAUCGCAGUCUCGGUUGACUUACACGGUAAGUUCUUAGAUCAUAAGGUCGUGAUGAAUUGGUCCCCGACCACCGUAGUAGGAGACAUUACUCAUUUGUCUCGUGAAGACAAAACUCGUUAUACCCCGAGAGUCUCCAAAGAAGACGAAAUUGUACUAAACCGCUGGAGCUGCUACCCAUCGAAAAGGAUAUUUCCCGCGAAAAUAAUAGACUUUACAUCGUAGUUCGCCUAUAUUUAGUAAUACUCACUGUGAGCGGGAGACGUAUUGAUUCAACGUGUGUCGGUUAGGGCUUUUCAGACCAUUUUUUUUACUUUGAUUUGGCCGUUUUGCCGUUGUCAUCAGAAUAUCUGACUGUGAUACGGAUACAGCUUUGACAACCACCUAGUUAGGCCUCCAAUACGGCGGUGGUACAACUUUUUUAUGGAGACAUCGGUGGACGAGGUUGGAGCAUGUCUGGCGAAACUUGUCGCCAACCAUGAGGUGAACAACAUCGCAUCUGGUGUAUCUUUUGCUCACGCAUGUAGCUUUUAUUAGACAUCUUCUCUUC
rnacentral:rRNA from 1 species